UACGGAGGGGGCUAGCGUUGUUCGGAAUUACUGGGCGUAAAGCGCACGUAGGCGGCUUCUUAAGUCAGGGGUGAAAUCCUGGAGCUCAACUCCAGAACUGCCUUUGAUACUGAGAGGCUUGAGUCCGGGAGAGGUGAGUGGAACUGCGAGUGUAGAGGUGAAAUGCGUAGAUAUUGGGAGGAACACCAGUGGCGAAGGCGGCUCACUGGACCGGUACUGACGCUGAGGCGCGAAAGCGUGGGGAGCAAACGGGG
rnacentral:rRNA from 1 species